AGGACCAGGAAAUAUGAAUCUAGGUA
rnacentral:piRNA from 1 species